rnacentral:lncRNA from 1 species
GAAAGGCUUUGCUGUGUUUCCUCUGCAGAGAAAGUGCCCAGGUAACAGAGAUGACUCAAAAUCAUGUACAUUAGCAGUCAGAUCAGACAAACCAAAGCCUCACGGUGUGCCCACGUCGGAACUCCUUCUCCUAGCAUUUUUCUGGGUCAGCCUGGAUUGAGACACACUGGCCUUUAGAACUUGAAUAAAAUGCCGUUUCACUCAUUGCCAUCUUCGAUAGUUGGUAGAAGGUGAUUGCAGUUCCAAGUGGUGUCACCAUUUUAGUGAGUGCAUUGUGAAGGGAUAAGUAAGCAGAGAUGCAAAACCUCUUCCACUUCUUUUCCAUGAAGCACAGCUUUCAGAAGAAUUGAACUAUAGUAAAUGGCAGAGAGUCUAGCACAAUUAAGUAUUUCUAAACCAGGACUGAAAAUGAAGAAAUGAUCACCAUAGAGGAAACAAAAUCAGAGAGGAUAGGAAACCUGUCCAAAGUCAUAUGGCUGAUAAGAGGCAGAGUGAAGACUGGACCUGAGCAAGUUUGGUGUAGAAGCCUGUGCUCUUAACUGCCAUCCUAGAUUCUUUCUUAAGACUUCUUCUGAGGAUCAGCCUCAUACAAAAGGGUAAUGGUGGCAGCAGCUCCAGAACUCAUAUCAUAUCCUCCCAUGUUAAAGUCAAAUGAGAAAAGUCUGUCUUCGCCCCAGGAUUCCCAGCGAUGCCUCCUGAUGUGUCAUUGGCUCGGAUUGCAUCAUGUGCCCUCCGUGGACUUUGUCCAGAUGAAUGUUUUAGAUUCCUUGUCCCCAGUUACCUCAUCUUUAAAAUGAAGACAAGACUCAGAGUUGGCUUUCCAGGAACUGAAGACACAUUUUGUAGAAGUUGAUGGAUUAAGAAAAAGAAGUUGCAUUUUAUUACCUAUCCUAAAGAUAGAAGGUGAUCUGAACAUUCUAAUAUCACUUGCCAAGACUGUUGGAGCAUGGGGAAGAGAGGUUCCUCGCAUGACUGACAGCUUAGAAGCCAGAGGUCAAGGGAGCCUAUCGAUCAAUGCACUCCACGCAAAUAUGUCCCAGGAGCAGGAUAGAACAAGGUGUAAAAGGGUGGGACUCUAUCUAGAGGGGCAAAAUGAAGAUAUCGAACACAUUGACAUGAAUAAAAUAUGUACAAUGUCAUUAUAAUGUGUCAAAUUUGCACAGAAAAAUAAUCAUAAAAUAUUUAAUGUCAUAGUCAACUACUGGUGGUGUUUUAUGCCAGCUGCACUUUAGCUGGUUAACUGGAGGAUUUGAGUGAAAAUACUUCUUUUUUUUUUUUUUUUAAGAGAGAGAGAGGUUCAGGAAACAUCUGAAGGGGAAUGGGCAAGUGAUGCCUGAACGGUACUGGCAGAAGAUAAAUGGUAUGUUAUUUUAAGCCAAUAGAAAGCUUAAUCCCAUGAGGGAAACUCUGGGAAAUGUACACCAUAUGAGUCAGAAUUACUCCAAGAAUGAGGGAGCUAGGACACUUAGCUUCCUGAACCAUUGGGUGUGAUCUGCCCCUGUAGGCAAAGGGCCUUCCUAGGAUCUAGAAAAAAAGACUCCAGGCAGCUAGAUGUAGAUACUGGCCAUUGGAUGUUUGUCAAAGCAAAAGAAAGAUCUGAAGGGUAAGGGAAGGACAUUGUUGGUGUCUAUACUUUUGGCCAAUAUGCCACAAGUACAAAUGCACCAGUUACAGUGUUAAGCAUGACUGCUUGAAUUUACAACCAGCUUUUGAGGAUAUGGAUAUGGAAGGUGUUCUUAAAAGUCCCAUCUUAUUGUCGUGACAGCAAAGAUCAUUAUAUAAGUCUGUUAUUAUUUCAGGCAAUUAAAAAACUGUCUCGUAAUUAUUUGAGUCACAUUUCUUUUUAAUAUUUUUGACAGUCUGUAAUUUUAGAAUAACACUCUCAAAUACAUCAUUUGCCAUAUUUUAACACAUUGGAGUUACAUAAUCUGUGUAUCAGUGUACCAGAGUGAAUUUGGUUUUGUGAAGACCUCAGAAGAAAAGCUUACCUGCAAUCUCCAUGUCUAAACUUGAAUAGAUUAAAAUGUUCCCUUGAUUAGGA